rnacentral:misc_RNA from 1 species
CUUAUACAAAGCCCGCGAUUCCUUCUCCUCUCUUGGCAGAUGUAAACAGAGCAGCCUCUCAGGAGCGAGUGAAAAAAGAAGAAGGAUUGCCAUUUUUGCAGCAAGAUUUUGGAAAACCAUGAUGUAACCAUGAAAAACUAGUACAGAUUUAUGGGAAGCUUCACUUUGUGAUAAUGAGUUCCAGUAAAAGUGUGGUGAUGGCUAGGCAGGGAUUCAUGGGAAAGGAGCUGAGAUAACUUCUUGAAUAGCAAGCCACAGCCACAGCCAUCAGCAUGUUGUCCAACUCUCGUAAGAAGUCGGACACCAUGUCCAGCUGUGACAGCCUGGCGGGGAAGUACAUAAAAAAGGAAUCUCCUCCUGAGGUGUCCAUCAUUAAUGUCUGGCCAAAUGCAAGUCAGAGUGAUUUGAGAAAGAGGAAGAGUACAGUCAAUCCACCCUAUGUUAGUAGCAGCAAUCCUCCAUCUCACCAAGCCUCACCCUUAGUCCAAAAGUAUUCCACGGGAUCUAGGACGCCAGUGAACGGAAUGGCCCAUGGAGGACUGGAAGGCAAAUACACGCCUAACGUUGGGGAAGUGACACAGCGGAUGGGUGGCCUCCACCUGGGUAGCAGAGGGAGCCUUGAUGGCAUGUUGAAGCAGCAAGCACCCCCUUCGCCAGCUAUGUUUAACCACACAUUCAUUAACCAUUAUACAGGAUCUCAGUACAGUCUUGAUCAAAUACUCUAUGGACCGAGUCACAUCAGGUCGCCACUGGAAGCAACAAACCCGGGUAUUUCUUACCCUUUCCUCCAUCAAUCUGGUCAAAAGCAGCAGCAAGCCCAGCAACAGCAGCAGCAGCAGCAGCAAAGACAACAACUGUCUCAGUCAAAUACUCAUCUUGGGGGAGGAUCGCCUCAGCCUCCUUCCCCUCGCCUUGAACAAGAGCUUCCUUUACCUCCAGGAUGGUCUGUAGACUACACUCUAAGGGGAAGAAAGUAUUACAUAGAUCACAACACAAAGACAACUCACUGGUCACAUCCCUUGGAGAAGGAAGGUCUGCCUGCUGGAUGGGAGCGUAUUGAGUCUCUAGAACAUGGUGUUUAUUAUGUUAAUCACAUUACUCGGCAAGCCCAGUAUGAGCACCCAUGUGCGCAACAGUAUCUUCCAAGAAUUCCAGAGAAUUCAGCUCUUGCCCAGAAUAGAAUGCUACCUAUUCCACACCAUACAGAUUUCCGUCAGCCAUUGUCACUCAUGCCAGCAUCACCAUACCUCCAUGAGAAAAUUCCUUAUUGGCUACACGUGUAUUCUCAAGCUUCACCAGAACAUGACCACAAGUUAAGAUGGGAACUCUUCAGACUACCAGAGCUGGACUGCUACCAGGCAAUGCUCAACAGACUCUUCAAACACGAGCUACAUGGCAUUGUGAUGAGUUACGAAAUGUACCGUAUUGCUCUGACCAAAGAGAUUGAAAGAAGAAUGCAGCAGAUGAACACACCAAUGGCAGGAGGGGCAGAGACCACAAGUGGGGUGACCAUAACAGAAAUAAAGGAUGAGGAUUCUCACAGUACUGAAAACGUCUCUUCUAAUGAACAUUUCAAGCAGCAGAUACUAAAUGCAGAUAACUUAUUUGAGUCUAAAGUGUAAUACUGUUUUUCUAUUGUACUAAAUGCACUAUCAAUCAGACAUAGAACGACUAACUCUUGGAACUUUUUUCUGAACUUCAAGCUUUUUGUGGCAGCUUUCAGUGGGCAAAACUAGUUUACUUUAGAACAUGAUUUUAGUCUUGUGCCUGUGAUUAUAGAUCUACUAUUGAAUAUUUGGCUGUGCAUAGUGAAAGUAUUAGUUGUCAGUGAGUGGUGUUGCACCCAUUUUUUUUUUGUUUCCCCUUCUUUUUUUCUUUUUUUUAUGUUACCAAAGAUAUGACCUAAGUUGGGCAUUGCUUUGAUUGCUUGUCGUGGUAGUGUUAACGUGGCUCUCCCCGUCCUGCACCACUGAAGUCCUGGGAGGAGAGUGUAUCGUCUCUAAGGCACUACACUAACCAGUUUCAAGAUACGUUAGUUGCCACCUUCAUUUCCCUAUUCCUUCGUCUUUUCAAGAAAAAGAAAGAAAAAAAAAAAAGAGAGAGAGAGAGAGGAGAUUUGUACUUCGCAUCUUUUUUAAGUAUUCUAGUCUUUCAUUAAUUGAAAUUAUU